rnacentral:rRNA from 1 species
GCAAGUCGAGGGGUAACAGGGAAGAGCUUGCUUUUCCGCUGACGACCGGCGCACGGGUGCGUAACGCGUAUAGAACCUACCUUUUACAGGGGAAUAGCCUUUAGAAAUGAAGAUUAAUGCCCCAUAGUAUCAUUGAUUGGCAUCGAUUAAUGAUUAAACAUUUAUGGGUAAAAGAUGGCUAUGCGUUCUAUUAGCUAGUAGGUAAGGUAACGGCUUACCUAGGCGACGAUAGGUAGGGGGUCUGAGAGGAUUAUC